UAUUGAUCCUCGAACGUUCUCCCUGUCAACUCCGGAACUCCACCAGGGCGAGAGGCGGAAGUGGAGACGAUGAGGGGAGCCGCAGCUGUUGAUCCCGCGCUGUAAGGAUGGGAAGAUUUUUGUGUAGUUA